GGGCCUGUGGCGCAACGGUAGCGCGUCUGACUCCAAAUCAGAAGGUUGCGGGUUCGAUUCCCUCCGGGCUCA
rfam:Babesia microti strain RI chromosome II, complete genome.